rnacentral:rRNA from 1 species
UACGAAGGGGGCUAGCGUUGCUCGGAAUCACUGGGCGUAAAGCGUGCGCAGGCGGUUAUGCAAGACAGAUGUGAAAUCCCCGGGCUCAACCUGGGAACUGCAUUUGUGACUGCAUAGCUAGAGUACGGUAGAGGGGGAUGGAAUUCCGCGUGUAGCAGUGAAAUGCGUAGAUAUGCGGAGGAACACCGAUGGCGAAGGCAAUCCCCUGGACCUGUACUGACGCUCAUGCACGAAAGCGUGGGGAGCAAACAGG